rnacentral:sRNA from 1 species
GGAGUUCCGGGGAAACGCAAAUGAAGAUGGGUUCAAAAGGCAGCCUUUCGUAAUGGGUAAGAGCUCGAACUUUGGAGCCUGCCUGGGUUGGAAUGUUUAAUGUAUCUGGGCCUCAGUUUCCUCAUCUGGGAAGUGAUAGCAUUUGAGGAGACUCAUCUGACCUCCCUUGACCCAGUGAAACAGUUUGCUGCCUGGUUUGAGGAGGCUGUUCAGUGUCCUGACAUAGGGGAAGCCAAUGCCAUGUGUCUGGCUACCUGCACCAGAGAUGGAAAACCCUCUGCCCGCAUGUUGCUGCUGAAGGGCUUCGGGAAAGAUGGCUUCCGCUUCUUCACUAACUUCGAGAGUCGAAAAGGAAAAGAGCUGGACUCUAAUCCCUUUGCUUCCCUUGUCUUCUACUGGGAGCCACUUAACCGUCAGGUGCGUGUGGAAGGCCCUGUGAAGAAACUGCCUGAGGAGGAGGCUGAGUGCUACUUCCACUCCCGCCCCAAGAGCAGCCAGAUUGGGGCUGUGGUCAGCCACCAGAGUUCUGUGAUCCCUGAUCGGGAGUAUCUGAGAAAGAAAAAUGAGGAACUGGAACAGCUCUACCAGGAUCAAGAGGUGCCCAAGCCAAAAUCCUGGGGUGGCUAUGUCCUGUACCCUCAGGUGAUGGAGUUCUGGCAAGGUCAAACCAACCGCCUGCAUGACCGGAUAGUCUUUCGGCGGGGCCUACCCACAGGAGAUUCCCCUUUGGGGCCCAUGACCCACCGCGGGGAGGAAGACUGGCUCUAUGAGAGACUUGCACCUUAACUCUGGGACCUGCUGGCCCAGAGUGGAGCUAGGGCUAGGUGUCAAGAGAGGGUGUGGGAUUGGGACCCAGGCCCUUCUUUCUAAACUCAACCCAUUUCCCUCCCUACCCCUUAUCUUCAGGACUCUUCAGAGCUAAUCCUCUAAGUUCUCUGUACUCAGUUGGUUCUCAGUUAGCUGGUCAAGUGGAGUGUAAUGGUGGCGUAGAGAAUCACAAAUGGAAAAUAAUUCCAUAAUUAUUUUUUUGACCUUGCCUAUGAUUGAUUAGGAUAGCUCCCUCUAGGGGUAGCAGCCGGUGUGACUCCCUUUCUGGUGACAGACAGGGCCCCAGCAGCCCUGUUACCAUGUGAGUCAUACUGGCCAAAGCUUAGUCCUAGCAUAUGCACCUGAGCCAACCUGGCCAAUCAGAUUGUUUUGUCAAUAAUUUGAAAUUUGAACUGGAGAGAUCCAGAACCUUGGGAGUCAUUAAAGCCAAGUCAUUCAUAGCAGCCAGGAAACAAUAGGAACCAACAGCCUCUACCUGCUGCUAUUGCAAUUCCCAGGAUCUCUCCUUCCCUGGAUCCCUCCCUCCCAGGUCUGGGCUGUGCAGUUCCUCCCCCUGCCUUAAAACACCCCACUAUCUCU